GUGAGGCCUUCGGACUGGCCCAGGGAGGUCGGCAACGACCACCCAGGGCCGGAAAGUUGGUCAAACUCGGUCAUUUAGAGGAAGUAAAAGUCGUAACAAGGUCUCCGUAGGUGAACCUGCGGAGGGAUCAUU
rnacentral:rRNA from 2 species